AACCCCAUCUCUGCUAAAAUACAAAAAUUAGCCAGGCGUGGUGGCGGGUGCCUGUAAUCCCAGCUACUUGGGAGGCUAAUACAAGAGAAUCUCUUGAACCCAGGAGGCAGAGGUUGCAGUGAGCUGAGAUCGUGCAACCGCACUCCAGCCUGGGUGACAGAGCCAGACUCCAUCUCAAAAAAAGGAAAAAGAAAUACCCAGAAUGUUACAUGUGCACUCAAGCACUGAAUUGAAUGAAGUACUGGUUUUGGUGGUAACUACAGCUUUCCAUUGCUUAAAACCCUUUCAGGCUGGACGUGGUGGCUCAUGCCCAUAAUCCCAAUGCUUUGGGAGGCUGAGGUGAGAGGAUCAUCUGAUCCAGGAGUUCAAGACCAGCUGGGGCAACGUAGCAAGACCCCAUCUCCACAAACUUACAAAAAAUUAGCUAAGUAUGGUGGUGCAUGCCUGUAGUCCCAGUUACUCCAGAGGCUAAGGCAAGAGGGUUGCUUGAGCCUGGGAGGUUGAGGUUGUAGUGAGCUAUGAUCAUGCCACUGAACUCCAGCCUGUGUGACAGAGCGAGGCCCUGUCUCAAUCAAUCAAUCAAUCAAUCAAUCAAUCAAUCCUUUCAAAAUAUCUUAUUGCUGUUUAGUUUCCAUUUUCCAGGUUUUUAAUGAGGCUAAGGAGCUUUUCAAAGGUUCACUCUUCCUGCCUAGCCAUUUGGGCUGUGUAGUUCAAGAGGAUCUGUAGCAUCUUUUUACAAAGAAGAAGGUUAAGGCGUUAGGGGAGGAGCAGGGAGAACAGGAGGAAGGAGCUCCCAGGCCCUGUUUUCAGCCCUUCCUUCCCCUCCUCUUUUCUUUUUUGAGGCCUGCUCCAUUCUCUUAGGGCCUGACCCUGACCUGCCAACCCCAGAUAAGGUGUUGUGACUAGGCCCUCCUUCCCCCAGGGUUCCCCCUGGAGAGACCCAAGGCAAUGGAUGGAGGAGCAUUGGCCCCACCCCAUCUCCUCACCCCACUUAAGGGAACAGCAUCUGAGGACAGGUGGCAGCAGGUAGUGUGGCCCCACCUCACUUCACAUUGCAGGGAGCUCUGUCACUUUGCUCCUUUGUUGCAAAUGCCAUUGGAAAGGCCAGUGCUGUGCUGCCUAGUGAGGUCUUCAAGGUGUUGGCCGGAUGCUUGAAGAAAGUGGAAGCCAUGGAAGGUUGUAUUCAGGAGAGGGGCAUGGCCCCUUCUGAGCAUGUUUCCACUGGUGGGAGGCCAUAGAGAGAAUGAUAAGGAAGGAGAAUGAGGCCACGUGGAUGACAGCUAACCCCUGCUGAGAGCCCAUUCUGAGCCGUGCACUGUAUGCCAUUUACUGGCAAAAGAGCAUGAGUAGGUGGUCAAGGUCGCCCAGCUGACAAGUGACAAAGUCAGAGCCAUCACAUUUCACCUGAGAUUCCUCCCCAGUUGUUUCAGGCAUGUUCGAUUUGUUUCCUAGCAAUAACUUUGCAAGGAUGGUCCUACUGUCCCCAUUCACAGAUGGGAAAACUGAGGGCAAAUGGUAGAGCCAAGUAAUGAAUGUGUUCUGCUUGGUCUUUACUUCUCAUGGAUACUCAAGGAAGGCAGCAGGUCUGGGCAAAGAAGGAAGGUGUUUCUUCACCAGAAGCAAAAUUUGUGUUGGAAAAGGGAUCUUAGAAAAGCCCCAGCCUCGACAUUCCUGAGCUCAGCCUCAGGGCUUUAUACAUACUUUGAUGAACACUUAAUAUGUUGCAAUUUUUCUGUUCUACCACAGGGUCAGCGCAUACAGUUGUAUAGGUUAUGCACUGCACAACUCAUGGAGUUCCAUGGCCUAAACCUGAGGGACCCAUCUUGCAGUCUCUGAGAUGGUGUGGAGUGGCGUCCACAGAUGAGGGCUUUGCUGACAAGUAGCGGGGUUUGAAUCUAGUCUUGGUUACUGGGUCGAGGAGCUUUUUCUAUUCUCCUUGAUCCCAUUUCCUCAUCUGUGAAGUGGAGAUGGUAUCAUCAUCUCUUCUCCCUCGGGGACUGUCAGGAUAGCAGGAGAGAACACACGGCAUAUGGCCCUUUACACAGGGCCUGGUACUAGUGGGGCCUUGGUAGAGUUCAGUUUCUCAUACUUCUGUCUCUCUGAGUGGACUUGAGGGCAGGCAGAGGCCCUGUCUAACUCAUUCCUGCAUCCCCAGCGCCCAGCGCUGUCCUUGCACGUGGGAGGGACUAGGCACCCAUUUGCUAAGGGACCAGAGAAAUCAUGCUGGAGGCAGAGAGGGGAUUUGGGGAACACUGGGGCAGCAGGCCCCAGUCCGGCAUCCCCACCCCACCUUUUCCCUCUUGGAGACAGCCUGGUCUGAGUUAUUUCCCUUCCCGACACUUCCCUGCCUCCAGGGCACAUUUUCUCCAGGUGAGUCCACCCAGGCAGAGGGCGAAGCCAGCAGGCACAGGCUGGAUUCCUGCAGAGGCGCGCAUUUCAUUUGGCCUGCACCAUGGCUUCACAUUUUUAAAAUUAGUUGCCGAUAUUUUACAAUUUGGAGAUUUCACCUAGAAACCUGGAUUUCCAGCUAUUCUUGAAAAAUCAAAAGAUCUAGCAGCCCUGGGCCUGCAGCUGGCAGCUGGUGUGCAGCAGCCACUGUUCCUUUGUGUUGGGUAUAUGCUGCUCAGUUUGCCACCAGAUCCACCUGGUCCAAGUCCCCCUCCCUUAUGACUCCUGCCCUUCCCCUGGUGAACCUGCAACCCCUGGCUCUAUGGAGCGCCCGGGCCAUCCCACUAACCUCACAGGUCUUGGUUUGGCAAAUCAUGACCGUGCCAGGGUCUUUGCCUGUGGAACGAGGAUCUGUGGGGGUGCCUUCCAAAUGUGCCAACCAAUGCUCACGACCAAGCCUUCAGUGUAACGAUCUGCCCACUUUCUCCUCCUCCCCCUGCCUCCGUGAGCCAGCGAAGCUGCUGCCCUGUUUGGGGACACAAACAUACACACGUUAUUAGAACCUCAGAUCAAAGGCGGCGUCCUACAGCCUGCCUCUCAAUGGUCCCUUUGUGCAGGCGGAAGCCUGCAAGAGAGUUAGAAUCCAGGGAGAACAGGAGGGGCUGGAGGGGGGCUCAAAACAAAGAUACUUGUCACCCUGAGAAGUCCGCAGAAAUGAUGUUAAAAGAGGCGCCAGGUGGAGGAUGUACCCCGGCUCGCUGCUGGAAGAUGCAAAUGGAGAAUUCUCAGUUCUGCAGAGGAGAAGAAAACACCCCUGUCCCUUGUGGUUUCAGAGGAAGGGGUGACAGUGGCUGCCCACCCCCUCCGCCAGCAGCAGCCUGCGUCUGCCUUCCUGGCCUCGCCAGGGGUGGAUGUGAUACUGGCAAGGGCUUCUUGGAACGAAAAGCCCACAGCGACCCCAAGAAGCUGCUCCAACCCCUGGGACUAUGGAGCUCUACAGCUGUAGAGACCACCAGGAAGUGGACUGCAGGCCCCUGGCCUCUCCAUUCAGAUUCUGCAAAGAGAUCCUGAUGGGUUGGGCCAAUGGGUCAGGCAUCCAGUCAGCUCUGGCUAAGGGGUGAAGGAGUCAGGUGUUACCAACGUGGUGGCAGGGGCCACCUUGAAGCUGUGUUCUGUGCCAUGGAAGAAGGAAGAGGAGGAGGAAGCUAAGCUGGAAGGGAAGGCAGUCUAGGCUCCUGGAGUCAGUAGUUGGAAUCUCAGAUGGGAAGAAACCUUAAAAGUCAUCUGGUCCAGUAUUUUCCAAAGCAUGUUCCAUGAACUUGUUUUCCAGAAAUGGUUUCCUGGUCUGGUGAGUGGGAGUUCGAUGAGAGUGGCAGUUGUCUAUUUUGUUCACCGAUGUAUCUUAGGUGACUAAAACAAUGGUUGUCACAUGGCUGGCCCUUCAUAUUUGUUUCCAGAUGGAAGACUCUCUUUCUAGUGGUGGAACAUUAGUUUUGCACUGUGUUGGGACAACCUGAUGUAGUGAAAACAAGCCUGGGCAAUGAAAUCAACAGAUUGGAGUUCAGUUCCUAAUUGGGUCAUGGAUGAACUUUGUGACCUUGGGCAAGUGAGUUCACCUCUCUGAGUUGAAUAGGUUCCCUCCUUUCUAGAACAAGUAUGAGUCUGCAUCAGAGAGUGGUUGCGAGGGCUACACAUGAUGGAGGAUGAGGACUGGCACAUCAGAAGUACUGAAUGAAGAAUUGUAACAUAAAAAUGACAACAGUAAUAUAUUUUUGUGGUUUCAGCACUCUUCAAAUGAAACCACCUGGCCAACAGGAUUUUAGUGUACCUGCUUAUAACAUUAGCCUUCGUUUCCACCAAAAAGGGUGUUAAAAAAGGAAGCUUGGAACAUGAAAGUAAGACACUUGGAUGAAGAGAUUUAUGACUCUGGGGGGCUGUGAAUUCCUAAUGUCCUUUUGAGACAUGUAGAUCUUCCAGAGCGAUGCUGCCCAAUGCAGUAGCCACUAGCCAAGUGCAAAUGGUCACUUGCAAUAUGGCUAGUCUUUGAGAUGUGUUUUAAGUGUAAAAUACACACUGAAUUUUAAAGACUUAGCGCAAUACAAAGAAUGUAAAAUAUCUCAUUAUAUCUUGAAAUUAUACUAUUUUGGAUAUAUGGUGUUCCCUUGGUGUCUUUGGGGACUGGUUCCAGGAUCCUAGAGGAUACCCAAAUCCCCAGAUGUCAAGUCCGCUAUAUAAAAUGUCCUGUAGUAUUUGCAUAUAACCUACACACAUCCUUCUGAAUACUUUAAAUCAUCUCUAGAUUCCUUGUAAUUCCUAAUACAAUGUAAAUGUUAUGUAAAUAGUUGUUAUACUAUAUUAAAAAGUUUUUUAUUCUUU
rnacentral:lncRNA from 1 species